rnacentral:snRNA from 1 species
GUGUUCGCCCCAGCAGCACAUCAACAAAAAUCUAAACAAUAGAUCAGCAUGGCCCCUGUACAAGGAUGACACGCAAAUUCAUGAAAUACAUUGACUCUAC